AGCUCCUUCCUUCCCCACACCCCCGCCUGGCCGCCUCCUUUCGUCCACCGCGGCUCAGAUCCCCUCUCCUCCGAUCCCCCCUGGUGGUUCCUUCUCCUCCACCGCUAGUGCCCAACGCCGGCCUUUGGAGGCAUCCACGAAUGGAGGAUGGGUCCGGCGACGGCCUCCUCUCCCUCACGGACUCGCGUCAGGGCACCCUCAUCGCCUCCCUCUUCACCUCCCUCGCCUUCCCCUCCCCGAAGCCACAGCAGCGGCAGGCGCUGGUCAUAGGGGGCUAGCUGGCACAAGAUCCGGCUGUCGCGGGCCUGUGUCUGGCUGCCGUAGACCCAGAUCCAUGGCCGCCGAACCACGGGCGCAGCAGCAUCACCUCCAUUGCCGCCAGGACAACGUCGCCGCGAAUGCCCCUCGCUCUCCUCUGCCGCAUUCGCCUGGCGCCGGCGGCCACGCCCAGCAUCCGCUCCACCUCCGCCAAGCUGGUCCGUGCCUCCCGCACCGAAGUCAACCCAGGAGGACUAGGCGCUCAUGGAUCCAGGCAUCCAGCCACGACGCUACUCCCCGUGAGUGCCUCAGUGCCGUCAUGCUUCUUCGAUUCAUGCACUCUGUAUCAAUCUUGUCCCCAACCUUGUGCUCCUCCCGACGCUUGUGCUCCUGUGGCAGCAGCAAGCAAGACUAGAUGAGACUGAUUGUUUGUGCACAGUUGCAGCUGGGCAUUGAGGUCAAGUUUGAGAAGGAUAGAGUUGAGAAAAUGGUGCAGAGGAUUCGGCAUGGAGUCCCAAGAUUCAUCCAGUGAGAGGUCAAAUAUAGCACAACUAGAAUUCUGAACCUCGAAGGCAAAUGUAUGUAAAUAUCAGGUCUAGUGUGGAUUACAUCAGUUGUUAUGUUAUGCUAGUUCAGAACCUCUGUUCAUUCAAUCACAAAAGUAGUAGCUCUGUAACUUCUUGUGUGCUGAAUUGACUAUUUUGAUAAAUGGGCUAAAUUUCCCUUGGGCUUGUAUGAUUGGCUA